rnacentral:lncRNA from 1 species
CUAGAUUCCAAGGGUGGAAUAAAAAGCUGUAUUUAUUUUUAUGGAAGCACUAACAAUUCUAUUUGGAUUGGAUUUCUUCGUAGCAAAACCAAUGAAUUAUUGAACAGAUUGGACCCGGGUUUGCCAAAGAGUGAUUCCUGUCAGAUUGCUAAUCGUGGCCCAGAAUCUGCAGCAUGGUCUAGGAGCCAUACUUAUAAGCAAGCUCUUCGAGAGUAUGAAAACAGAAGAUUAGAGGAAAUGAAGCAAGAACAACGGAGGAAGGCUGAAUUAAUGGAAUUUAAACAAAAGCAGGAAGAGGAAGCCAGGACAAGAGCACAUCAAAACGAACAGAGGAGGGUAAAUAAUGCUUUCCUGGACCGACUCCAGAACAAAACGCAACCUAAUAGCAUCUACCAACCUGGAUAUUCUGGGAGUCUGGACUACCUCAGUAACAACGCCUCGGUAAGAUUUUUGGGUACAGAAUGUGAAAGCAGUGGGAUUGUUUGGCCCCAUCUGGAGUACUGUGUUCAGUUCUGGGCUCCCCAGUUGAAGGACAGGCAA